rnacentral:rRNA from 1 species
UGCAUAUUCCCAUUACGGAGGAAAAGAAACCAACAGGGAUUGCCUCAGUAACGGCGAGUGAAGCGGCAAAAGCUCAAAUUUGAAAUCCCCCCGGGGAGUUGUAAUUUGAAGAUUGCGUCUUGGAGGCGACCGUGUCUAUGUUCCUUGGAACAGGACGUCACAGAGGGUGAGAAUCCCGUGCGGCACGGCCCCCGGCUCCUUAUAAGGCGCUCUCGACGAGUCGAGUUGUUUGGGAAUGCAGCUCAAAGUGGGUGGUAAAUUCCAUCUAAAGCUAAAUACAGGCGAGAGACCGAUAGCGAACAAGUACAGUGAUGGAAAGAUGAAAAGCACUUUGAAAAGAGAGUGAAACAGCACGUGAAAUUGUUGAAAGGGAAGGGCAUGCCGUCAGAUUGUCAGUGUGGGUAAGAAGCGGGGUACAAAGACUGUGGAACGUGGCCCUCGGGUGUUAUAGCCGCAGUUCAUGCCCCGUCUCUUUCCGAGGCCUGCUUUGAGGACACCGACGUAAUGACGGUACGCCGCCCGUCUUGAACCACCGGACCAA